rnacentral:lncRNA from 1 species
GAACCAUCAGGCACCUCUGUGGCCAGCCUGAGGGACCCAGCAACAGCAGAAAACAUCAUCACUAUCUGCUAAGAGAGACAUUGGACAUGGAUUUUAAAGAAGACAGAUUCUUGUCUUUAUGCUGAUGAGGGCAAUGGUUUUGUCGUAUAAAAUAACACCAAGAGGCCAUCUUGUAAUGGAGGGAGAAAGAAAGGACGUCUGUCCAGUGGCAUUCUAACAGAAAAGUAUCCAGAAGCCACCUGCAUCCCUAUCACACCAAGCUCCACAGGCAGAAGAGAUACCACUUGUGGCUUCUCAAAAAGCUCUCCUGGAUGAGGGCCCUGCACAAACAGCUAUCUGGAGAGAGCCUGACCGGAUGUGAAUGCACGGGGCAGCGAGAGAACAUGUUGUGUGGGAAGAAAAAAAAGAACAGAAUGUUUACUAACCAGAUAAUUGGCAGGUAGCAGACAUCAGACAUGUUCUUGUUCUUUUAUUUUCCCACCCGAUUGAAUUUAGCCAGUAGCAUGGCUUGCUUUAACAAAUAAAAUGCAGCCGGU